GGGUGAUUAGCUCAGUUGGUAGAGCGCUCGUCUUAUACACGAGUGGUCCCUGGUUCGAGCCCAGGAUCACCCACCA
rnacentral:tRNA from 1 species